UCCCAUGCGGUCCAGUGGUUAGGAUUCCUGUCUCUCACCCAGGCGGCCUGGGUUUGAUUCCUGGCGUGGGAA